rnacentral:rRNA from 1 species
AGGACGAACGCUGGCGGCGUGCUUAACACAUGCAAGUCGAACGAGAAUCCGUGGAAAGAGUUUUCGGACGAAUGGGAAGCGGAGGAAAGUGGCGGACGGGUGAGUAACGCGUGAGGAACCUGGCCUUUGGGAGAGGGGGACAACAGCUGGAAACGGCUGCUAAUACCGCAUGACGCAUUGGAGUCGCAUGGCUCUGAUGCCAAAGAUUUAUCGCUCUGAGAUGGCCUCGCGUCUGAUUAGCUGGUUGGUGGGGUAACGGCUCACCAAGGCGACGAUCAGUAGCCGGACUGAGAGGUUGAACGGCCACAUUGGGACUGAGAUACGGCCCAGACUCCUACGGGAGGCAGCAGUGGGGAAUAUUGGGCAAUGGGCGCAAGCCUGACCCAGCAACGCCGCGUGAAGGAAGAAGGCUUUCGGGUUGUAAACUUCUUUUAAGGGGGAAGAGCAGAAGACGGUACCUCUAGAAUAAGCCACGGCUAACUACGUGCC